rnacentral:tRNA from 1 species
CUUGAUUAAGAAGAAAAUAUCUCAUAAAUAGAUUUACAAUCUAU